rnacentral:rRNA from 1 species
ACCAUGCAGUCGAGCGGUAGCACAGAGAACUUGCUCCCUUGUGAGGAGAGUGGGACAGGUGAGUAAUGUCUGGGAAACUGCCUGAUGUAGGGGGAUAUCUACUGGAAACGGUUACUCAUACCCCACAAAGUCCCAACACCUGAGUGGGGGACCUUCUGGCCUCUUGCCAUCUUAUGUGCCCCGAUGGGAUUAUUAUCUAUGUGGGGUAACGGCUCCCUAAGCGACAAUCCCUAUAUGGUCUGAGAGGAUGACCUCCCACACUGGAACUGAGACACGGUCCCCACUCCUACAGGAGGCGCCACUGGGGAAUAUUGCACAAUGGGCGC